rnacentral:rRNA from 1 species
UACGGGAGGCAGCAGUAGGGAAUAAAGCUCACUGGAGGCAACUAAGACCCAGCCACCCCGUGUAUAUUAUGAACGCUCUCGUAUUAUAAAUUUAUUCCGUAUGGGAAAACACUCCCCCUUGCGAGGGUGCUUAACUGCCCCAUAAGAAUACGCUCCCGCUAUCUCUGCCCCCGCAGACGUGGUAAUAUUGAGUGCGCAAGCGUUGUCCGGAAUUAUCGGGUUUAAAGGGCGCGCAGGCGGUUUUGUCAGUCAGAGGUUAAAGACAGGAGCUUAACUCCGCGUUUGCCUUUGAUACUGCGAGACUUGAAAUACAUAUGGGUAGGAGGAAUUCCUCAUGUAGCGGUGAAAUGCACACACAUGAGGAGGAAGACGGAAGGCGAAGGCAGAUUAUUGGGUGUCAUUUGACGCUGAGGCACCAAAGCGAGGGGAGCGAACAGGAUUAGAUAC